GAUGAACGCUGGCGGCGUGCCUAAUACAUGCAAGUCGAGCGAAGCGGGGACGGGUGAGUAACACGUGGAUAACCUCCUAUAAGACUGGGAUAACUUCGGGAAACCGGAGCUAAACCGGAUACUUAUCGAUGGAUCCGCGCUGCAUUAGCUAGUGGGGAAGGUAACGGCUUACCAAGGCAACGAUGCCUAGCCGACCUGAGAGGGUGAUAGGCCACACGGGAACUGAGACACGGUCCAGGCGCCUACGGUAGGCAGCAGUAGGUAAUCUGCCGCAAUGGGCGAAAGCCUGACGGAACAACGCCGCGUGUGUUAUGAAGGUCUUCGGAUCGUAAAACUCUGUUAUGAGGGAAGCGGUACCUAAUCAGGAAGCCACGGCUAACUACGUGCCAGCCGCCGCGGUAAUAC
rnacentral:rRNA from 1 species